UCAGUUCGGAUUGUAGGCUGAAACUCGCCUACAUGAAGCUGGAGUUACUAGUAAUCGCAGAUCAGAAUGCUGCGGUGAAUGCGUUCCCGGGCCUUGUACACACCGCCCGUCACACCAUGGGAGCCGGUAAUACCCGAAGUCAGUAGUCCAACCUCGUGAGGACGCUGCCGAAGGUAGGAUUGGCGACUGGGGUGAAGUCGUAACAAGGUAUC
rnacentral:rRNA from 1 species